rnacentral:lncRNA from 1 species
AAACAGGAGGUUGUGCAGCUCCUCCUGAGAGCUACCAAAGCAGGCCUAUAUGCAGCCUCAGCCUUUGCCUGCUGCUUCUUCGGGAGGCCAUCUAUCUUCUGGGAACUAAAGGACCUAAAUGAAAGAUACAGACCAUGAUUGAUUGAGUCUAUUGUGUUGGGCCACUGUGGUUGAGCAAAGCCUUUCACAUCAUGGCUGAGAAGAGGGGCAGAUAGAAUGAAACAUGAUACCAGGAGACGGAGAAGCAGAGGCAGAGACCAUGCUACACAGCAUACCAUUAUCCUUGC